AACGUAGGAGACAAACGUUAUCCGGAGUUACUGGGCGUAAAGGGCGUGUAGGCGGUUUGUUAAGUCUGGCGUGAAAGCUCUCGGCUAAACCGGGAGAGGUCGUUGGAUACUGGCAAACUAGAGGACGGUAGAGGCGUGUGGAAUUCCGGGUGUAGUGGUGAAAUGCGUAGAGAUCCGGAGGAACACCAGUGGCGAAGGCGACACGCUGGGCCGUACCUGACGCUGAGGAGCGAAAGCGUGGGGAGCGAACAGG
rnacentral:rRNA from 1 species